GACCCAAUGGUGAAAUGAAUCACAUCCGCUUUGAUUGUAAGGACGAUCAUGCCGAUUUCUGGCGGAAGUCACCCGUUCGACUCGGGUUUGGGUCA